UGCCUGCCUGUGAUUUAUUUAACGGCCGCGGUACCUAACCGUGCAAGGUAGAUAAUCAAUUGUCCCUUAAAUCGGGACUAGUAUGAACGGCAUCACGAGGGUUAAACUGUCUCCCCCCUUAAAUCAAUGAAAUUAAUCUCCCCGUGAAGAAGCGGGGAUAAAAUUAUAAGACGAAAAGACCCCAUGGAGCUUUAAGCUUAUUAUCACUUAUCUAAUUAUGAAGCAGAUUAAUGAUAAAAGUGUUUAAUAGCUUUCGGUUGGGGCGACCCUGGAGAAAAAUAAAUCCUCCAGAUUGAAAAAAUAACCCUUAUAUAAGAACUACUAUUCAAAUAAACAAAAACUUGACAAAACUGACCCAGAAUUAACUGAUUAGUGAACCAAGUUACCCUGGGGAUAACAGCGCAAUCCAUUUCAAGAGCCCAUAUCGACAAAUGGGUUUACGACCUCGAUGUUGGAUCGGGGUAUCCUAGCAGCGCAGCUGUUGCUAAUGGUUCGUUUGUUCAACGAUUAACACCCCACGUGAUCUG
rnacentral:rRNA from 1 species